GUGUAAAUCUAAUAAUGACUAAAUUUUCUCCUACCAAAUAAAUCGGUUGCUUGCUGUGCGCAGUAUAGAAAGUUCCAUUCAAUUUAUCGCCACGCGGUCGUGUCUCUUCCUUUACUCUUUGCAUAUCUCUCUCCCAGUUUCUUCUCAAACCUUUAUCAAUCUUUCUUUCUCUCUAAUUCCAAACCCUAAUUACCAAUCAGGGUUCGUUCACUCCACCUCUGUGCGCUCAAUAUUUCCUUUUCGCGAUUUCAGAUCUUCGAUUUUAAUUGAAUAUAUUGCUCUUUCAGCCCGAUCCGUUCACGAAUUCACUUUAUCUACUUUAAUUUCACUAUUCUACGCACAAUUAAAUCGGUGUUUCAACAUCUUUUAAUAAUCAACCAUGUUUACCCGAAUUUUUGGCAAACCUAAACAGGAAGCCAAUGCUCUAACAACUUUAGACAAGUUAAACGAGACACUUGAAAUGCUAGAGAAAAAGGAGAAAGUGCUCCUUAAAAAGAGUGCAGCAGAAGUUGAAAAAGCCAAAGAAUUCACAAGGGCAAAGAAUAAAAGGGCGGCAAUACAGUGUUUGAAGAGGAAGAGGCUAUAUGAACAGCAAAUAGAGCAACUUGGAAACUUCCAGUUGCGUAUACAUGACCAGAUGAUAAUGUUGGAAGGAGCCAAGGCAACUACAGACACGGUCGAUGCUUUGAGAACUGGAGCAUCUGCAAUGAAGGCUAUGCAAAAAGCAACGAAUAUUGAUGAUGUUGACAAGACCAUGGACGAGAUCAAUGAACAAACAGAGAACAUGAAACAGAUUCAGGAAGCAUUGUCAGCUCCAAUUGGUGCAGCUGCUGACUUUGAUGAGGAUGAAUUGGAAGCAGAACUUGAAGAGCUAGAGGGUGCCGAGUUGGAAGAACAGCUUCUUCAGCCUGCAACUACAACUCCAGAAUCCCCAAUGCAUGUCCCAGCUGGGCGGCAACCUACCCGCCCUGUGUCUGUGAAACCCACUGCUGAGGAGGAUGAAUUGGCAGCUUUGCAGGCUGAGAUGGCACUUUGAGCAGUUGAGUGAUUUGCGUAUGCACCAGUUUCAUGUUUGAUAUCCCCCUUUGCACAGUUGAGUUACUUUAUAUGAUCGCAGUAACUUUGCAGGCAUUGAUGUGAAUAAUAUGUGACCUCUAAAGAUUUGGAACCAGUGUCAUGGAGAAUUCUGCACAACCUCGUGGUCGCUUAUAUUUUGUGAAAUUAUUAAAUAGACAAGACUAUAUAUAUAUAGGUGAUAGAUAAUAUUCUGUGAAUUAUUAAAUAGACGAGACUGUAUAUAUAUAGGUGAUAAACAUUGAACAACGCGAAAACAUCUCUUGCCUGGGAUGUUUGUCACUCUUUUAGAAGUCGCGAUUCUCAUAAAGUUGACAACCAUGCCUUACACUUGUGCUGUUUAAAACAUUGAUGCACUUGGUUAUCUGUAUUUUUUAACCUUGCCCGUCUUUUAACAUUGUUGAUGAUAUUGAUUAUGUA